rnacentral:rRNA from 1 species
GAUGAACGCUGGCGGCGUGCCUAAUACAUGCAAGUCGAGCGAACAGACGAGGAGCUUGCUCCUCUGACGUUAGCGGCGGACGGGUGAGUAACACGUGGAUAACCUACCUAUAAGACUGGGAUAACUUCGGGAAACCGGAGCUAAUACCGGAUAAUAUAUUGAACCGCAUGGUUCAAUAGUGAAAGACGGUUUUGCUGUCACUUAUAGAUGGAUCCGCGCCGCAUUAGCUAGUUGGUAAGGUAACGGCUUACCAAGGCAACGAUGCGUAGCCGACCUGAGAGGGUGAUCGGCCACACUGGAACUGAGACACGGUCCAGACUCCUACGGGAGGCAGCAGUAGGGAAUCUUCCGCAAUGGACGAAAGCCUGACGGAGCAACGCCGCGUGAAUGAUGAAGGUCUUCGGAUCGUAAAACUCUGUUAUUAGGGAAGAACAAAUGUGUAAGUAACUAUGCACGUCUUGACGGUACCUAAUCAGAAAGCCACGGCUAACUACGUG